UAAAUACUCCCUCCGUACCAAAAUUUUUGUCUUAGAUUUGUCUACAAAUGAAUAUAUCUAUUUACUAAAACGUGAUUAAAUACAUUCAUAUCUAGACAAAUCUAAGACAAGAAUUUUGAGAUGGAGGGAGUGUAAG
rfam:Hordeum vulgare subsp. vulgare, WGS project CAJW01000000 data, contig: morex_contig_1628402